rnacentral:ncRNA from 18 species
CUUUCCCUGCCUGCUGAAGGUACCCGUCCAUGGUGACGGGAGAGCCCCGCGGCGGCAAAGCCGCCAACGGGGUAAACGGGAAGCAGGUGAGAGACCUGCACUGCCCCCGCAACGGUAAGCAGAUCAAGACACCGCAUUAUGCCACUGUGAUUACACUCCAUGUGCAUGGGAAGGCGCCGGUGUCGGGUGACCCCACCAGUCUGUAAGUCCGGAUACCGGCCUUCGCACCCCUAUCCACC